AGGGACCCCGGAGCUGGAGCCCCGUUCGCUCUCCUGGGCUACUGCGGGAACCGAGAUUCGAAAAGAGUUUCCGCAGG
rfam:Equus caballus chromosome 11, whole genome shotgun sequence.